CGGGCAAGCCGGGCGAUCGCUGCCCCGUCCGAGCGUCCCGAUAUUGUUUAUCGGGGCGGGCAUGGGCGGGGGAGAGGAAAGUCCGAACUCCGCAGGGCAGUGUGCUCGCUAACAGCGAGGGUCGGCGGGGGAUCUCCGACCAGUCGGAGCGUACGCCGCCGGCACGGAAAGUGCCACAGAAAAUACACCGUCCCGAUGCGCUUUAUCGGGAUAAGGGUGAAAAGGUGCGGUCCCGCUGGACGGGGCUUAAUGUAAGGGCGCACCGCCCCGAUGGUGACAUCGGGGGCAGGGCAAACCCCACACGGAGCAAGACCAAAUAGGAGAGGAGGAGUGGCCCGCUCCGCAAUGCCGCCACCAGGCCCCGACAGGUCGGGGUCGGUGAUGACAGGCAACUCUCGGGUAGGUCGCUUGACCCCGAUAGCAAUAUCGGGGCUAGAGGAAUGAUCGCCAUCCCGAUUUCGUCGGGAAACAGAAUUCGGCUUACAGGCUUGCUCGCGCU
rnacentral:RNase_P_RNA from 1 species